ACCUCGGGAGAUCAUUG
rnacentral:rRNA from 1 species